UAAUAGAUAAAAUAAGUAUUGUAUGAUGCUACUAUUACGAAAAUAAAAAAUAUUAUUAAAUUUUAUUAUGUAUAUAUCUAACCAGUCGGUAAGGUGUUAAUAUAUUUUAUACUUAUUAAUAUAUUUUUGAUACUUUCAAUGUGCUUUCCUACUCGAGUUUUAAAUUCUUCAAUAUUUCAUAUAGAGAUUAAUUAGGGGAUGAACAAUUAUUUUCCGAAAAAUAUUUCCCAAUUAGAGAAGGAAAAGGUGUCUUCGAAGUAGCAGCCGAGGCUCGAACUUCGUGCUCGAGUCAUCGUGGCAUUAAAUACGAAACGUUUUAUAAGUUCUUCGCAAGUGGACGAUUAUUUCCUACGUGUUUGAAAUUAAAAACGUUACAAUUUGGAUUGCUUCAACUCCGAAUACCACGAGGACUCACGUAGGCAACUUCUAAUUUUGUUUUUGUGAGUUGCUUUAUUAUGAAACAAGUUGGACACCACUGAUAUACACAGCCGUACAACUUGCGGCGGAAGUUGGGAAGAACGAUGCAACAAAUCUUCAAAUUCGGUAUUUUUAAAAACGAAGCUUUUACAGAACCGAGAUAGGACUCGAAAUUUCCGACUAAUUUUCCAAGGUGGGACUCGCUGGAUUGCGAUCAAUUAAAUACGACAAAAUUCGACAAUAGACGCAGAGGGACCGUAGUUUUAUUGCGUUCAAGGAUAAGCUGCCACUCGGCCAGGUCGCUGUUGGAAAUUUCCUCGUACAUUAAGAGAUACCUGAAGUACGACCGAUUCGAGGAACGCGUGAACGCUGUUAUUCCCUGGACACGGAAACUUAUUUCCAGCGUCGACUCCUAUAUUCGAAGUGCCUUAUUGUUAACGCGCAAACCCUCCGCCUUUCCUAGCUUCAGGUAGGAAAGUAUAGCGCUAAACGUAAUGGUACUAAAAGAUGACUGUAACAGCGUGGAUUUUUGUUUUUAACGUUUUUAUUUUUGUAGAAUUCGUUACUUCGAAAACCGUGUGAAAGAAGUGCGGUAUAAAAUCGGAGGAUAGAUGUAUCUACAGAGUACUGGGAUUACAUAUGUUAGUGAUAACCAAUGAAAACAAUUUUCAAAA